CGUCCGGGACGACCGGGACGACCACCAGGGCGUCCGGGACGACCUGG
rfam:Macrostomum lignano uti_cns_0009880, whole genome shotgun sequence.